UACAGAGGGGGCAAGCGUUAUUCGGAAUUAUUGGGCGUAAAGGGCGCGUAGGCGGCUUUUUAAGUCAGAUGUGUAAUCCCCGAGCUCAACUUGGGAACUGCAUCUGAGACUGGGAGGCUAGAGUGCUGGAGAGGGUGGUGGAAUUCCUCGUGUAGCGGUGAAAUGCGUAGAGAUGAGGAGGAACACCAGUGGCGAAGGCGGCCACCUGGACAGUAACUGACGCUGAGGCGCGAAAGUGUGGGUAGCAAACAGG
rnacentral:rRNA from 1 species